rnacentral:rRNA from 1 species
UGGGGAAUAUUGGACAAUGGGCGGAAGCCUGAUCCAGCAAUACCGCGUGUGUGAAGAAGGCCUGAGGGUUGUAAAGCACUUUCAGUGGGGAGGAAAAAGAGUUGGUCAAUACCCGGCUCAUUGACAUUACCCACAGAAGAAGCACCGGCUAACUCCGUGCCAGCAGCCGCGGUAAUACGGAGGGUGCGAGCGUUAAUCGGAAUUACUGGGCGUAAAGCGUGCGUAGGCGGUGCGUUAAGUCAGAUGUGAAAGCCCCGGGCUCAACCUGGGAACGGCAUUUGAAACUGGCGUGCUAGAGUUAGGUAGAGGGGAGUGGAAUUUCAGGUGUAGCGGUGAAAUGCGUAGAUAUCUGAAGGAACACCAGUGGCGAAGGCGGCUCCCUGGACCCAAACUGACGCUG